UAAAAUUUAAAUUAAUAUUAAUAAUUUUAAAAAUUAAAUAUAAAAAUUAAUGUUUUAGUUUUAA
rnacentral:tRNA from 1 species